GUGCCAGCCGCCGCGGUAAUACGUAGGGGGCAAGCGUUGUCCGGAAUCAUUGGGCGUAAAGCGCGUGUAGGCGGCCUUGUAAGUCCGUUCUGAAAGUCCGGGGCUCAACCCCGGGAGGCGGAUGGAUACUGCAAGGCUCGAGUCCGGAAGAGGCAAGUGGAAUUCCCGGUGUAGCGGUGAAAUGCGCAGAUAUCGGGAGGAACACCAAUGGCGAAGGCAGCUUGCUGGGACGGUACUGACGCUGAGACGCGAAAGCGUGGGGAGCAAACAGGAUUAGAUACCCCUGUAGUCC
rnacentral:rRNA from 1 species